rnacentral:misc_RNA from 1 species
GUGAAUCAUCGAAUUUUUGAACGCAUAUUGCACUCCCUGGUAUUCCGGAGAGUAUGCCUAUUUGAGGGUCAUUUGAAAUAAUAUAAAUUUCGUGAUUUUCUUGGAAUCAAAAAUGGGAUGGUCCAGUUUUCGUGUGGUGGUCGCCUAAAAUGUAAGAUAAGUUCAUAUCUCGGGUCGCGUGAUACUUCCAGUUACUUCGUGACUUCACAAGGAAUCUUCGAGCGUGUUCAGCAUUAUGCAAGAGAUAACUUUCUUUUAUCCCGAGCUCAAUAUUAAAUCGAAUCAUGACAUCAUAUUAG